GAUGAACGCUGGCGGCGUGCCUAACACAUGCAAGUCGAACGAAGCACCUUACCUGAUUCUUCGGAUGCAAGUUUGGUGACUGAGUGGCGGACGGGUGAGUAACGCGUCGGUAACCUGCCCUGUACAGGGGGAUAACAGCUGGAAACGGCUGCUAAUACCGCAUACGCGCACGUGGAGACAUCUCCUUGUGUGAAAAACUCCGGUGGUACAGGAUGGGCCCGCGCCUGAUUAGCUGGUAGGCAGGGUAACGGCCUACCAAGGCAACGAUCAGUAGCCGGUCUGAGAGGAAGAACGGCCACAUUGGAACGGGGACACGGUCCAAACUCCUACGGGAGGCAGCAGUGGUGAAUAUUGCACAAUGGGGGAAACCCUGAUGCAGCAACGACGCGUGAGUGAAGAAGUAUUUCAGUAUGUAAAGCUCUAGCAGCAGUGAAGAUAAUGACGGUACCUGACUAAGAAGCUCCGGCUAAAUACGUG
rnacentral:rRNA from 1 species